CAUCUAUCAUGUCAUGGUAGGCUACAGGGAGUUCCAUGUGGGGAAGAACUGAAACCUCCUGCCAACAGCCAUGUGAGGAAGCUUGGAAAACCUUGGAAGAGUAUCCUUUAAAAAAAAGUUUUAAAUUAAACAUAAAUAAAUACAUAAACAGUGCAACUGCAACCUCAUGAGACAUCCCAAGCCAGACAACUCAGGGCUCACAAUCUACUUAAAAAUUUUGAUAUAGUCACUCAUUUAUUCUACAAACAUUUACCACAGUCCUUUGAUGUGUCAGCUCUAAGCACUCAAGAUGGAGUGGCAGUAGGAUCCCAACACUUAUAUCUGUCCAGAACUGGUCAUCAGCUGGCUUGAGUUCUCCCAUUCUGCCUGUGCCUUCCCUUAGCAAGGGAAAGAACAAGAUGGAAGAGAAGGAAAAGGCCUGAUUGAACCAGCCAAUAGAAAAUUAGAAGCUGACUAUUUUGCAAUAAUGCAGCACAACAGCAAUAAAUAAAUCAAUCACUUGGGGGGGUGGAGAAUGACUUUCCUAUAAUCAGCUAUUAAAGUCUUGUACCACUAAUUAGUCUA
rnacentral:lncRNA from 1 species